rnacentral:rRNA from 1 species
UCCGUAGGUGAACCUGCGGAAGGAUCAUUACCGAAAGCAAUCGAGUCUUGAGCUCUUAAUGCGUGCUCGGCUCUUCUUUCAUCCACACACCUUUGUGCACCAAUGGGACGCAAGUCCCCUUUUAUUCAUAAAUACCAAGUUAUAUGCAUGUAAACACAUUAAAAUAAAUGUAAACAACUUUCAACAACGGAUCUCUUGGCUUUCGCAUCGAUGAAGAACGCAGCGAAUGUGCGAGACGUAAUGUGAAUUGCAGAAUUCAGUGAAUCAUCGGAUCUUUGAACGCAUCUUGCGCUCCUUGGUAUUCCGAGGAGCAUGCCUGUUUGAGUGUCGUGAAUUACUCUCACUCUCGAGUUUCUCGAGACUGGACGUGAGCGCUUGUCGUGCGAAACCGACUCGCUCUAAAUGCAUUAGCGGUCCCUUGAUCACGCCCAACAAUGUGGUAAAUUAAAAAAGCAUUGUGGCGCGUUCAUCAAAAAAGAGACGCUCCUAACGGUCCCGAAAAAAAAGGGACAAACGAUCUCAUUUGACCUCAAAUCAGGUAGGACUACCCGCUGAACUUAAGCAUAUCAAUAAGCGGAGGA